rnacentral:rRNA from 1 species
GAUGAACGCUGGCGGCGUGCCUAAUACAUGCAAGUCGAACGGACAGACGAGGAGCUUGCUCCUCUGACGUUAGCGGCGGACGGGUGAGUAACACGUGUAUAACCUACCUAUAAGACUGGGAUAACUUCGGGAAACCGGAUCUAAUACCGUAUAAUAUAUUGAACCGCAUGGUUCAAUAGUGAAAAACGGUUUUGCGGUCACUUAUAGAUGGAUCCGCGCCGCAUUAGCUAGUUGGUAAGGUAACGGCUUACAAAGGCAGCGAGGCGUAGCCGACCUGAGAGGCUGAUAGGCGACCUGGGAACUGAGCCAGGGUCCAUACGACUACGGGAGGGAGCAGUAGGGAAUGUGCCGCAAUGGGGGAAAGUCUGACGGAGCAACGCGGCGCGAGAGAUGACGGUGUUCGGAGCGUAAAACCCUGCUAUUGGGGAAGAACCAAUGUGGAAGUAAAUAUGGCCGUAUUGACGGUACCUAAUCAGAAAGCAACGGCUAACUACGUG